UCAUUAUUAGAUGGGAUAAUCAUCACGCCU
rnacentral:piRNA from 1 species